AUUGAUCUUCAUCUUCAAAAUUUUCAUUCUUGAACAUGAAGAUUGAUUAAACUUGAUGAUUGCUUAAGCUCAUCAAAUUAACACCCUGUUUCGAGAAAUACAAGGAAAUGGGAUUAUUGGAUUAACAAGCAUUAAAUAUUAAUGUUGUACUACUCUAUUUCAUGAUUUUAGUCUUUAGAUUCUCUUCAUGUGUGUAAUAAUAUUCAACGGGCGAAAGUCUUAUGCGAGAUUGUGGUACAUAGAACCAUUCAGACUACCAUCUGCCAAAAUUGCUACCCUCAGGUACGAAUGGAGCUAACAAUUCACGCAUGCGUGUUGAGUUUCAUUUUAUAAAUAUUGUACUCUGUUUUAUAAACUUAUUGUCAAUUUGACCCUCACAUAGAAAUGAAGUUGGAAGGGAUAGGUACAAGGAAUGAAGUGGAAUGGAUUGGAUUGCUUGCAGUGCAGAAAAAGCUGAAAGAUUAACCAGUGUUCCACAGCCAUCAUUGUAAAUAGAUAUCGAAACAGGUUUCUGAAACUUGUGCAGCAUAUUAUUUCAUGAUAUUGUAAUUAUAGUGUAUCUUGUUUCCAUUAUGUUGGACAAAUUGGUUAGUCUGUAUAAAAAAAUGAUUUGGAUUUUCCCAUCAGCUGCUUUUAUGAUUGUUAGAUAGAAAGUAGUAAUAAAAUAGGAAAGUGAGGGAUGGGAACAGAAACAGGAUAGUAAAACAAGGAUGGUUUGGAGGUUAGGUAAUGAAGAAGAAAAAUGGUGUUUGGCAAGAGAAAAAAUCAGAGAAAAAAAUGGCAGCCGACAGUGGAUGAUUUUAAGUUGAAAGUGUGGUGUGGGUUUACAAAAAUUGCACAAAAGUAUGAUUAUAAUCAUGGUAAUGGAGAUUCUUGUAGACGAAAUGAGCCAACCAUAUGUUUUGAAAAAGAAAAAUGGUGUUUGGCAAGAGAGAGAAUGAGAGAAAAAAAUUUGUUAAAUAGAUGAUGUCAUUUAUGACGUCGUGUGCUUAUGUGGCAUGUCACAUGGGCUACUAUAUUGACCUACAAUUUGAUUAAAGGUCAGCUCACAUUGACCGUUAAAAGUGGGCUGAUUUUUGAAAAAAUCGUAACGUUGAGGGUGUCAACCAAAAAAUAAAAAGGUUAAGGGCACAAAACCAAAAGCCCCAAACGUUGAGGGUUUUUUUUUUUUGCAAUUAUGCCUAGUCUUAAUCCUAUCUUAUUUAAUUAUUUACUCAAAUAUUCAAAUUAAAACAAACCAACUUGAAUUCAAUUAAAUACUUGCAUCUCUUUUAGCCAAAACCUCACUUUCUUUGCUUUUGUUCUCUUCCUUUCUCAUUCUCAUCGCAAUCUUUCACUUUUCUUCCAACUCUCUUUUCUUCUAAUUUCUUACUUCUUGCCUCUAAGAUGUUAUACAAACUCUUCUAGACCUGUACUUCAUCUUAUCUCUUUGAUGGCUAUGAAAAUUUUCAAGGUUUU
rnacentral:lncRNA from 1 species